AGACAAUUUGUUCCUUCUAGUACUUUAAGAAAAUAGUGCUAGAAUUUUAGUGUUGUCUUAAAGAAAUUGAAAGUUUUCACGUUUGACUUUAUUUAGAUGGUAAAAGUCGAGUUUUUCCGCUUUCAAACAUCU